UAUCCGGAAUUAUUGGGCGUAAAGGGCUCGUAGGCGGUUCGUCGCGUCCGGUGUGAAAGUCCAUCGCUUAACGGUGGAUCCGCGCCGGGUACGGGCGGGCUUGAGUGCGGUAGGGGAGACUGGAAUUCCCGGUGUAACGGUGGAAUGUGUAGAUAUCGGGAAGAACACCAAUGGCGAAGGCAGGUCUCUGGGCCGUCACUGACGCUGAGGAGCGAAAGCGUGGGGAGCGAACAGGGUUAGAUACCCUGGUAGUCCACGCCGUAAACGGUGGAUGCUGGAUGUGGGGACCAUUCCACGGUCUCCGUGUCGGAGCCAACGCGUUAAGCAUCCCGCCUGGGGAGUACGGCCGCAAGGCUAAAACUCAAAGAAAUUGACGGGGGCCCGCACGAGCGG
rnacentral:rRNA from 1 species